rnacentral:tRNA from 1 species
GCCUGGGUGGUGGAAUCGGUAGACACGAGAGACUUAAAAUCUCUUUCCCUCGGGAGUGAGGGUUCAAGUCCCUCCCCAGGCACCA